rnacentral:pre_miRNA from 1 species
AGUAUAAUUGCUGGGUCAUAAGAGAAGUACAUGUUGAGUUUUACAAGAAACUGCCAAACUGUUUUCCAGAGUAGCUCUAGCAUUUUACAUUCUUACAAGUUAU